rnacentral:rRNA from 1 species
GUCUUAUUGAUUAUAAUUUUAAGUCUAAUCUGCCCUAUGAUUAAUUAAAUGGCUGCAGUAUUUUAACUGUACAAAGGUAGCAUAAUAAUUAGUUUCUUAAUUAGGAACUGGAAUGAAUGAUUGGACGAGAUAAUAACUGUCUUGGUUUAAAUUUUAGAAUUUUAUUUUUAAGUUAAAAAGCUUAAAUUUUUUUAAAAGACGAGAAGACCCUAUAGAAUUUUAUAUUAAUUAAUUAUUUUAUUUUUGGUUAUUUGAUUUAGAAUUUGUUAAUGGGAUAUUUGAUUGGGGUGAUUGAAAAAUUUAAUUAACUUUUUUUUUAUAUUAACAUUAAUUUAUGAUUAAGUGAUCCAGAUGUUCUGAUUAUAAGAUUAAAUUACCUUAGGGAUAACAGCGUAAUUUUUUUAGAGAGUUCUAAUCGAUAAAAGAGAUUGCGACCUCGAUGUUGGAUUAAAGUUAAUUUUUAAUGUAGGAGUUAAAAUAUUAGGUCUGUUCGACCUUUGAAACUUUACAUGAUCUGAGUU